ACGGGAUCGUAUAAGAGUCUCACUGCACUGGUAAAGAGAGAGGGAGAGAGACUGAGCGAGCAAGCGCAGAAGAGAGAGAGAGCCAGAGAGGGAGGGAGAGACAGUGUGCAAGAGAGUGAGUGAGAGCGAAGCGAGCUAGAGAGAGAAGCGUGAGAUAGAGAGAGAGAAUGUAUGGUGUCAGGGUAACGCUUCCUUGCUUGUAUCCAGGGCCUUUGUGAAUACACCAUGGGAUGCAUCGGCUCACGGAGACUCACGGCAGAUGGAGUGCCAGUAAAGGAUGGGGAACAGGUAAGCCUGACAUUCAGGACUUUAACUAUCACUCUUAAUUCAAGCCACCCUGUUACACCCAAUGGCUCCAGCAGUGGGGUUCUCACUUCCACAAAUGGGGAUCUUGAUCCAAGAUGGUGACCAACAUCAACUUUAGCUCUCUACUACUGAAGCCAUGAGUGCUACUGCAUCUGCUUGUAGAGUAGCUAGCUAGCGCACAUGUUGCUGUUGGUUUGCUAACUUCCUCUACACUCAAAAUGGCGUCUGUAGCUGGAAGGAGGACCAACCACUGUGGUUGGCUCGUUGCUGUUGCUAUGACGUCUGCUGCUUCUCUGUCACGCCUCAGUGCUGGCUCACUGUAGAACAGUAGGAGCAUCACCCACCUCUCCUCCUCUCACCCCAUCCCUCACUACUCUCCUCUCAGAUCCUUUCCUCUCCACUUCUCCUUUCAAGUCCUCUCUCCUCUCCUUCCUUUUGAGAUACUGUUACUAAAAUGAUCUUCAUCACUUCUCGGAUGAUUUUCUGGCAGGAGAAAGAGGACCAUUUAAAUUGAAACCGAAUGUACUGUACUGUGGAUUGAUCAUGUGUUUCUCUUGACAAACUUGCCCUUCAAAAAUGUAAUAAAAAAAGAGAGCGAGAGAGAGGAGAGAAAGAGACACAGACAGACCGACAGACAGACGUGUGUGUGUGCAAGCGUGUAGGCGUGUGUGUGAAUAUGCAUGUGUGUGAAUGUGCGUGUGUGUGAAUGUGUGUGUGAAUGCGUGCACAUGUGUUUAUGUGUGCGCUUAUGUGUGUGUGCAAUCUGUGUGUGUGGGGGCGUGUGUGUGUGUGCGUGCUUGUGUUGUAACUGAUGUAAGCUGGCUGAUGGUAGCGGUGUCAGUGUCCUCUCUGGUGAGAUCUGUGUCUGCAGAGACAGACAGAGACAGACAGACAGAGUGUAACAAUAAGAGAGAGAACAUGAGAGCUAGGUUUUCUGGAGACUGAACACAUCUGUAAGGGGACAUGGCACCAUGCCGUCCUGCUGGUUCUAAGGCCCCGGCUCUUGUAUUGUCAGGAACAAUUCAGCUGAUACAGGACUCAGAGGUGGUGUGACAGACGCUGGUGCUUAUCUAGACUGUCACCAUCCCCCUUCUGUUAGCCUGCUCCUCAACUGUCUGUCUGUCUGU
ensembl:lncRNA